rnacentral:tRNA from 1 species
AGUUAAAUGGCUGAAAGUAAGUAUCGGUCUCUUAAACCGCACUAUAAUAUUGUGACGAAUAUUUUUAACUA